rnacentral:lncRNA from 1 species
UUUGAGUUCUUUUGCUAAAAAUGAGGCUUUGGCUUGGAAACUGUAGGAAACUCAGUGGCAGGGUGGGAGGGCUGGGAGGGACAGGAGAGGAGUGGGGAAAUAGGCCACUUAGGCCGCCGGGGAGGAUGACGACCAGGGAAAUACACCAGAGCGCUCUCUGACAGGGCAUCUGAGGUCGGAGGCUGCGGGCUCUACCCCGGGGCCGAUCCAGUUCAGGGAGGUCAGAAAGGCAGCUCGGAACGCGCCCAACCGGGACUGGAAACGUGUGAAACUCUCGGUUCAGCCCGAUUCCGCCUCGUCCAGGCAGCUUGUCUUGGGGGCACCCUAACCUCUCCGAACCUCAGUUUCCCCAUCUUGGGGUCACUGAAGCCGGAAGUUGUAGAAGCACCUAGGAAGCUACGGGGUCCUGCAUCCGGACCAGUUUCCGGCUUUGCGCUCCCCUGACUUGGCAGAAAGAAGAGCUGGACGAUGACUAGAAGGUUCCAGAAGACAUCAUGGGGAGACAUCUCAGGAAGGAAAAGUGAAUUAUCCACAGGGAUUCAGGGGCGGUGCUCCCCAUCGAAGGCUGGCAUCAGGAAAGACUCUGAGGUCAGAUCCAGACACGGGAUUGGAGGUGCUGAUAAACUCUGCUGCGGCACAGACUUUGGGGAGAAGACAGUAGACAUCUUAGCCUACACCUAAGUCUACCAGAAGUCCCACGUCCCAGCCUCGUCACACACCCACGGAUCCUGGGAAAUUCAGAGCUCAAAGGAAGCCUCCAAUGGGUUAACGUGUGGAAAAUUCCACAGAUACACUUUCUGAUGCAGAUCACUCCUCUCUACUCCGCCCACCACCCCCCCCUCACAACCAACUGCAGCUCCGCAGACAAGCCAGAGAAAAGAGAAGGGAAAUGUGAAAACAGUUCUGAAUUCAGCUGGUGUGUGUGGAAGUGCAAUAUUCCAAACACAAUUAAAACCCAAUCAGGGUCCGGAAAAGUGCUUAAAUGUCCCUGUCAAACAACAGACCACAUGUGGCAACUCCAGCGAGGUUAGCAGAGGAGCUGAGACUGGAAGAGGACUCAAAGAAUGGAAGAUGUCAGCAAUUUACCAGUAGUACGGGAGUCUCCAAGAAUCCAGGUUUAACAUUCAAAGCAAAGACCCCUCACCUGGAGGCCUCCGUCCACCUGAGCAUUCUUCAAGGAUCUCCUUGGGUCCCAGGUUAUCUAAUUUUUGGAUGGAGCAGGGAGCAGGGGACAGGCCAUCCAGACAGCAUUGAAGGGACUUCCCUGGUGUUGCAGUGAUUAGACUCUGCCUGCCAGUGUAAGGGGCCCAGGUUCCAUCCCUGGUCAGGGAACUAGAUCUCACAUGCUGCAACUGAUAAGAGCUCAAAUGCUGCCACUAGAGAUCCCGCAUGCCAAAACCAAGACCUGGAGCAGCCAAAUAAAUAAAAUAAAUAAAAAUAAAUAUAUAUAUAA